GACGAACGCUGGCGGCGUGCUUAACACAUGCAAGUCGAGCGGUAAGGCCCUUUCGGGGGUACGACGAGCGGCGAACGGGUGAGUAACACGUGGGUGACCUGCCCUCCAGCUCUGGGAUAAGCCUGGGAAACCGGGUCUAAUACUGGAUAUGACUCCAUGACGCAUGUUGUGGGGUGGAAAGCCUUGUGCGGCUGAGGAUGGGCCCGCGGCCUAUCAGCUUGUUGGUGGGGUGACGGCCUACCAAGGCGACGACGGGUAGCCGGCCCGACGAGGGCGACCGGCCACACUGGGACUGAGACACGGCCCAGACUCCUACGGGAGGCAGCAGUGGGGAAGUCUUGCGCAAUGGGCGAAAGCCUGACGCAGCGACGCCGCGUGAGGGAUGACGGCCU
rnacentral:rRNA from 1 species